CUAUCGGAGGCAGCAGUGGGCAUCGUGUCAAUGGCGGAAUCUGACGCAUCACGCUGCGUGAGGGAGAAGCGUCGCGAUCGUGAACCCAGUUCAGCAGUACGAUAAUGGUCGGUAUCUGCAGAUGAAGGCCCCGGUCGACCUACGCCACCAGCAGCACGCGGUAAUACCUAGGGGGCGAGCGUAGUCCGGGAUUCAUUUCGUGUACAGAGUUCUUUGGCGGCAUGAUAAGUCAGUGUGUGAAAUCUGCAGGCUCAACCUGGAGAGAUCAUUCGAUACUGUCAUGGUCAGAGUCCGAUAGAGGACCACGGAACUCGUCGUGUAGCGGUGACAUGCGCAGAUAUCAGGAGUAACACUGCUGGCGAAGGCGGUGGUCUGGGUCGGUACUGACGCUGAGGAGAGAAAGCGUGGGUAGCAAACAGGAUUAGAUACAUUGGUAGUCCACGCCCUAAACGUUGGGCAGUAGCUGUGGGGCCUUAUCAACGGGUUUCGUGCCGUAGUUAACGCAUUAAGUACCCCGCCUGGGGAGUACGGCCGCAAGGCUAAAACUCAAAGGAAUCGACGGGGGCCCGCACAAGCGGCGGAGCAUGUGGCUUAAUUCGAAUCAACGCGAAGAACCUUACCUGGGUUGAACUACGCAGGAAAAGCCGCAGAGAUGCGGUGUCCGUAAGGGCGUUCGAUAGGUGGUGCAUGGCUGUCGUCAGCUCACGUCGUGAGAUGUUGGGUUAAGUCCCGCAACGAGCGCAACCCUUGUCCUAUGUUGCCAGCGGGUAACGCCGGGGACUCGUAGGAGACUGCCGGGGUCAACUCGGAGGAAGGUGGGGACGACGUCAAGUCAUCAUGCCCCUUAUGUUCAGGGCUGCACACAUGCUACAAUGGCCGGUACAAAGGGCUGCUAUCCCGCGAGGGUGAGCGAAUCCCGUAAAGCCGGUCUCAGCUCCCAUCGGACUCUGCACCUCCACUCCGCGAAGUCGGAGUCGGUAGUAAUCCCGAAUCAGCAACGUCGCGGUGAAUACGUUCCCGGG
rnacentral:rRNA from 1 species